rnacentral:rRNA from 1 species
AUGGUGUCUUCUGUGUUAAGUAUUCCCACCUACAAGCAUUGCCCAACACGAUUAAGUUCUGGUGCUCAAUAUGUAGGGUGGAGUAAGACAAGUGUGUCCACCUGUACAAUCAUGAUGCUGAUUGUGUCUACAAGGGCCUGGUCACAGGUACAAUUGAUGCAUGGACAAGCAUGUGCCUCUAUUAUUAAAAUACCCAACUACUUUAUGUCCCGAUUGAAAGGAUUUUGGGCAAUUAUCGUCCUUCAUUCAACAAUUUUUGGAUCUGAGGAUAUUGUUGAUUUAAUUUUAGCACUUUAUCUUCGCACUGAUUUUAUGUUCAGUUAUUAUUUUAUACUUGAUCCUGCAAAGUAA